AUGAUAUAUGCUCUCUGGUUUUUUUCUAGAAUAUGUGAGUGCCUUAUCAAUUCAAUUUUUCUUUGUAAAAAACCGGUAAGCAUUUUCAGUCCUUUGGCUGUAACACAUAUGGGCCUUGUUCGGCCAAGGAAAUCAUGCGACUUUUUCCAACAAAUAGAGUGCUUAUUACAGAACUUUUACGCUCAAGUCCUUGAAGAAAGUAAUGAGAAAUCACUAACGCUAUCAAGUGAUGUACAAAAACUAUUGAGAUGGGGCAUUCACUAAAAUAUGGACAAACUUCAUUGAAAACUCUCAGUCCCUCUUGUAACAAGGAAACUGACUGUUAGUCAAAGUCCAAAGUAUUUUCAUCAGCAGGAAUACUCAGCUUCUAAAUUAGUUAGUCCGUGAAGAUAAUUUCACUGGAAACCCCAUAUUUUCCAGAGACAAAAAUUUGGUUUCUUUUCAACUGCCGGUCUAUGUUUGUGCAUGUAUGUAGGUAAAUAGGGUUAUACAGUUACACUAUUGUCACUGCAAUGAGAAUUUAACUAUUCUCUCUUUCUCAAAAAAAGUGUAUGUAAUUAAUCUACUGUAAUACAGAAUGUGCAAAUAAAUUCUGGCUAUCAUAUUGACUUCAAAAAUUCUUUGUUUGUUCAAUUCAGAAUAUUUUGUUGGGUGAGUGAAGGGACUCUCAUUUUGAUAUUGAAACUCCCAUAAACCAUGUAUAUCCGUUUGCGACGUUGCAGAUUUCCUGUCAUGCUUUAUUUUGUAGUUGGAGAACCACUCAACGUCAGUUAUUAAUAACUUCCGUGUUUUUUCUUUUCUGUGAGAGGCGAAUUCUGAAAAAACUUUAGGGAAUGAUGUUGAUUUGUUCUCUUGUGAAGAAAUAAAAUAGGAGCGGAGAUUUUUAAACACUGUGAACGAGAUGUGAGGUUUCUUAGAUUUACCGUCAAUAUCAUCCUUGUAAAGUAUACUGAAUCAGAAUGUAGGAGAUGUCCUCUUGGGUCCACAGAAACUUUUAACACAUUAUUUUGACAGCACGGUAUUGUUCAAAAGUGAAAUUGUGCGACUGGUGGAUCUCACCAUCUGUGUAAAAGCAAUAGAUAAAAAGAGGUAAACUGCAUGCACAGUGCAAAACUAAAAAAAAAAAGUUAAGUUUUGGCCAGAUCGAGCUUUGCUCUGUACUAAUCGAAGGAAUUAUCUGCUCUCCCUACCAAAUUAGUUUUGCCAAUUCAAGCAAAUUUUCUGUCGGAGCAGUUUGAAUUCAUGCAAAAAUGGCAUCUUAUUUUUUAAACCUCGAAUUUUAUCCUGAAAAGUUAGAGAUAUUUUCUAAGUUAAUCAACAGUGAUGUAUCUAAAGUGUAUACUGUAUGCCUUACACGUUUAAAAUUGAUGUAUCUAUAAGCUCGCAAAGAUUUAAAAAUCAUGUAAGAUGCAAAGUCAAAACUUAUUGUUCUCCUUAUCCGAUGAUCAUCUUGACCUUUGACUUGUCAAAAGAGAAUAUAUUGGGAAGGACUUUUCUCAAGAGAGGCUUCUAGAAAACUUAUUAGGGUGAGGUGCGGGGGAUGAAGGAGAGGGUACGUUGAAAUUAAAAGACUUGGAAGUUAGUAAGUUUGACUCACAAUUUCUGAACAUCCAUAAGAUUGCAAAUCUUAGCAACACCCUUACGUUGCAAGGCCAUCUCCAUGUCCCCUCAAAGGCUAGUACCUACUUUCUGAAAGAAAAAUGAAGAUCUCUUUACGAAUUCGUAGGUAUUUUUUAUUUUUGCAAGGAAAGAGCAAGAAUAAUCACAAAAUUAACAACAAUCUGCCAAUAAGUUUCACUGGAUAUUAUGCACUUGACAGUAGUACAUCUAGUUCUAAGUUCUUGACUUAAACUGAACAAGUUCAUAAUGCUGCAAUAUCUAACUGUGUGUCCUGGAGUGAAUGUCUUAUCCCAUAUAUAAAGUAAAGGUCGGUUUUGACGGUUUCCACGAAAUGGGGGUCAAACCGUCUGUCCGAUCUUCCCUAAAAUAUUUAUACCAGUCCUUCCCAGUUCGGUGAGUGACACUGGCUAUUUCAAUUUUCUCCCUGUCGUGAUUUCGGGAUUUUAUGGUCAAAAAAUGGUAAAGUUGGGGAGAGGAACGGGCCCACGGUUGCUAAGCAUCCGUUGCCAGGCACCUUUGUUAGCGAAGUAUAUCGCCAUACAUGCGAUAAUCGACCUAUGUACCUAUUUAAGGAACCUAUGUACUUGGCAGUAUAGUAUAUCUAGUUCUAAGUUCUUGACUAAAACUGAACAAGUUCAUAAUGCUGCAAUAUCUAACUGUGUGCCCCAGAGUAAAUGUCUUAUUACAUAUUAAAAUAUGUUUAUAAUGAAGUAAUUUCAAUCCCACC
rnacentral:lncRNA from 1 species